GGGGGCGAAAUUGGUUUCGACGGGGGUCGUGAAUCAGGAGUAGCGAGUCGUUGUCGCCAAGCAACGUAAAAAGUGGCAACAAAAAAUAAACGCAGAUAAUAAUUACGCAUUAGCAGCUUAAUUUAAGCUGCUCGUUCUAUCUAUGUUGCCCACGGCAUAGAAUAGAGCGUCAAAUUUGUGGGGAACCGAGUCUAGCAAAGCUUUGAGCUAGAAACGGAAUCUAUGAAGCUACUGAAGCUUUCAUCCUGCCAGUAGGAGGUUAGUUUCAGGAAAUUUAAAUUACUGGCUGCGCUCGGAGAAACUCCUGUGGAUCGGUUCUCGGACGUGGGUUCGACUCCCACCGCCUCCACCA
rnacentral:tmRNA from 1 species